CCUUCCGGUUGCAGCCUGAGAAAUCAGGCUGAUGGCUGGUGACUUUUUAGUCACCAGCCU
rnacentral:sRNA from 8 species